AAGGCUAUACUUUUAAGGAUAAUUUCUAUAGUCUGUGACUGGAGAAAUUAUGUACUAAAGAGUAAGGUCUCACCUGGGCAAUGGGCAGG